UCCGGAGGGUGCGAGCGUUAUCCGGAAUCACUGGGUUUAAAGGGUGCGUAGGCGGCUAGGUAAGUCAGGGGUGAAAGCUUCCCGCUCAACGGGAGAACUGCCUUUGAUACUGCCUGGCUCGAAUUGGGUUGAGGCUGGCGGAAUGUGGCAUGUAGCGGUGAAAUGCUUAGAUAUGCCAUAGAACACCGAUUGCGAAGGCAGCCAGCCAAGCCUUGAUUGACGCUGAGGCACGAAAGCGUGGGGAGCGAACAGG
rnacentral:rRNA from 1 species